AUUGAACGCUGGCGGCAGGCUUAACACAUGCAAGUCGAGCGGGGGAAGGUAGCUUGCUACUGGACCUAGCGGCGGACGGGUGAGUAAUGCUUAGGAAUCUGCCUAUUAGUGGGGGACAACAUCUCGAAAGGGAUGCUAAUACCGCAUACGUCCUACGGGAGAAAGCAGGGGAUCUUCGGACCUUGCGCUAAUAGAUGAGCCUAAGUCGGAUUAGCUAGUUGGUGGGGUAAAGGCCUACCAAGGCGACGAUCUGUAGCGGGUCUGAGAGGAUGAUCCGCCACACUGGGACUGAGACACGGCCCAGACUCC
rnacentral:rRNA from 1 species